UACGGGGGGGGCAAGCGUUGUUCGGAAUUACUGGGCGUAAAGGGUUCGUAGGUGGCUUGCUAAGUCAGACGUGAAAUCCCUCGGCUUAACCGGGGAACUGCGUCCGAUACUGGAUGGCUUGAGGUUGGGAGAGGGAUGCGGAAUUCCAGGUGUAGCGGUGAAAUGCGUAGAUAUCUGGAGGAACACCGGUGGCGAAGGCGGCAUCCUGGACCAAUUCUGACGCUGAGUGAGCGAAAGCCAGGGGAGCAAACGGG
rnacentral:rRNA from 1 species